rnacentral:rRNA from 1 species
GCGAGUCUUUGUAGUAAUACAAGGCAUACGGCUCAGUAACGCGUAGUCAACCUACCCUAUGGACAAGAAUAAUCUCGGGAAACUGAGCAUAAUUCUUGAUAGAUCAUAAUGCCUGGAAUGGUUUAUGGUUGAAAUGAUUCGUCGCCAUAGGAUGGGACUGCGGCCUAUCAGCUUGUUGGUGAGGUAAUGGCCCACCAAGGCGAUUACAGGUACGGGCUCUGAGAGGAGAAGCCCGGAGAUGGGUACUGAGACAAGGACCCAGGCCCUAUGGGGCGCAGCAGGCGAGAAAACUUUGCAAUGUGCGAAAGCACGACAAGGUUAAUCCGAGUGAUUUCUGCUAAAGAAAUCUUUUGCAAGUCAUAGAACCACUAGUGAAUAAGGGGUGGGCAAGUUCUGGUGUCAGCCGCCGCGGUAAAACCAGCACCUCAAGUGGUCAGGAGGAUUAUUGGGCCUAAAGCAUCCGUAGCCGGCUCUGUAAGUUUUCGGUUAAAUCCAUGUGCUCAACGCAUGGGCUGCCGAAAAUACUGCAUAGCUAGGGAGUGGGAGAGGUAGACGGUACUCGGUAGGAAGGGGUAAAAUCCUUUGAUCUAUCGAUGACCACCUGUGGCGAAGGCGGUCUACCAGAACACGUUCGACGGUGAGGGAUGAAAGCUGGGGGAGCAAACCGGAUUAGAUACCCGGGUAGUCCCAGCUGUAAACGAUGCAGACUCGAUGAUGCAUUGGCAUAUAGCCAGUGCAGUGUCGCAGGGAAGCCGUUAAGUCUGCCGCCUGGGAA